ACGGAAGGCAGCAGUGGGGAAUAUUGCACAAUGGGGGAAACCCUGAUGCAGCGACGCCGCGUGAGUGAAGAAGUUAUUCGUAAUGUAAAGCUCUAUCAGCAGGGAAGAAAAUGACGGUACCUGACUAAGGAGCCCCGGCUAACUACGUGCCAGCAGCCGCGGUAAUACGUAGGGGGCAAGCGUUAUCCGGAUUUACUGGGUGUAAAGGGAGCGUAGACGGCUUAGCAAGUCUGAUGUGAAAGGCAGGGGCUCAACUCCUGGACUGCAUUGGAAACUGUUAAGCUAGAGUGCCGGAGAGGUAAGCGGAAUUCCUAGUGUAGCGGUGAAAUGCGUAGAUAUUAGGAGGAACACCAGUGGCGAAGGCGGCUUACUGGACGGUAACUGACGUUGAGGCUCGAAAGCGUGGGGAGCAAACAGGAUUAGAUACCCUGGUA
rnacentral:rRNA from 1 species